GGAAUUAUUGGGCGUAAAGAGCUCGUAGGCGGUUUGUCGCGUCUGCUGUGAAAUCUGGGGGCUCAACCCCCAGCCUGCAGUGGGUACGGGCAGACUAGAGUGCGGUAGGGGAGAUUGGAAUUCCUGGUGUAGCGGUGGAAUGCGCAGAUAUCAGGAGGAACACCGAUGGCGAAGGCAGAUCUCUGGGCCGUAACUGACGCUGAGGAGCGAAAGCGUGGGGAGCGAACAGGAUUAGAUACCCUGGUAGUCCACGCCGUAAACGUUGGGAACUAGAUGUGGGGACCAUUCCACGGUCUCCGUGUCGCAGCUAACGCAUUAAGUUCCCCGCCUGGGGAGUACGGCCGCAAGGCUAAAACUCAAAGGAAUUGACGGGGGCCCGCACAAGCGGCGGAGCAUGCGGAUUAAUUCGAUGCAACGCGAAGAACCUUACCAAGGCUUGACAUAUACCGGAAACGGCCAGAGAUGGUCGCCCCGCAAGGUCGGUAUACAGGUGGUGCAUGGUUGUCGUCAGCUCGUGUCGUGAGAUGUUGGGUUAAGUCCCGCAACGAGCGCAACCCUCGUUCUAUGUUGCCAGCACGUUAUGGUGGGAACUCAUAGGAGACUGCCGGGGUCAACUCGGAGGAAGGUGGGGAUGACGUCAAAUCAUCAUGCCCCUUAUGUCUUGGGCUUCACGCAUGCUACAAUGGCCGGUACAAAGGGCUGCGAUACCGUAAGGUGGAGCGAAUCCCAAAAAGCCGGUCUCAGUUCGGAUUGAGGUCUGCAACUCGACCUCAUGAAGUCGGAGUCGCUAGUAAUCGCAGAUCAGCAACGCUGCGGUGAAUACGUUCCCG
rnacentral:rRNA from 1 species